UCGAUGGCAGCAGCAUCAUGUCAUAUGCUACGAAAUAUAUUUUGGUUGCAUUCGUUGAUGGAAGAGAAAUGCCACUAAAAGGGGAGAGAGAAAAAAAAGGAAAGCACGAAUUUUGCACAGCUAAAUGGGCCAGCCCGAAACCGUUUAUACUGGGCCGCAACGUCUAGAGUGCGGCCCACGAAAAGGAUGGCCACACUGGCUCGCCUCAAGGAAGCCCGGCCGCGGAGAGCAUCGCGUCCCACCCCCCACCGCCGCGGCGGCGAUGGCCGCCGCCGCCGCCGCCACCGCGCGCUCCUCGGUGGCGCCGCACGCAUCGCCCACCCUUCGCCGCUCGGGCUCAUCAGAUCCGGCUGCCUGUUUGGCGGCGAGAUUUUUCUAGCUCCAAGAGAGAAUGCCAGCCACGAAUCGUGCGUGAUCCGCCCGCCGCCUUCUGUGCCGUGCGGUUGCAUAAACUAGUAUACUGAUGAUGAUGAUGAUGAUGAUGAUGAUGAUGAUGAUGAUGCGGCACUUUCGGGCUUAGUGGGGUGUUGCGAUGCAAAAAAAGGCAGUUCUGUCGGCUUGGCAACUUUGCGUGGCGAGAUUAGUAAAUCAAGGGCAUGUUUUUUUUUGUUUCGAUCAUCUAGCCUUUUUAGGUAGUGGAGAAGCUAUGUCUCGGUGUUUAUGGAAUUUCCUAAAACCGAUGCUACAGCUUUGCAGCAUGCUGGAUGGUGGGCGUUGUGAUGCAAAAACGAUUCCGUUGGCUUGGAAAUUGGAAUAGUGAAAUUAACUGAGUAACUGAUGAGCAAGGCAUGUCUGUUUCUGAUCAUAAGCUUUUUAGAUAGAGAAAAAUACAGGUUGGGAUUUUUGAGAUGAAGAUCUUCUUGGACCGAUGUUAGCGCUUCGGAACAUGCUGUUAAGACGAGCUCUGAAGAAAUUAGAGUCCAUUGAUGAGUCCUAUUUAGUCAUUCUAAAUAGGUUCAGGCGACAGACAGGUGCAAUAGACAGCGACAACUAAACAGAAGCCUACCAGUCUUCUCUUAUCCUUACGACCUUACAAGUCAUGGCCGGUAAUUAUGAUUUAUGGAGUGGAUCGCUGCACUUCCUGAGAGUUCUUUUAAAGAUAUUACCGUCUCUCUCAACGCUUACCGGAAUUGCAGAUUCGAUCUAUUUGCUUCGACUGCAAAAGCAGGCUAGAGCUGCGGCUGGGUGCAUCCCAUCCACUCAUUUUUCAGUGGCCAUGCUAGCCUGCUAGGGAUCACAUUGGGAAGGGAAACAAUCAAAUAAUCCGCGGUGGUCUCAGCUCAGCUGCAUGUGUGGAGGACAAGCAAAUCGCCAAUAACACACCACAUGGGGCAACAUCGCGCAGACAUGGCAUGGACCCUGCUUGCCAUCUACCCCUCACCGUUUCAAUGCACCAGAGUUACAGCGGCAGCAAGGAGGCCCCCCCAUUGCAAUUGAAAUGGCCACAUGUGGAGACUGCCAUAUGUUUCCAUCAGAGAUGAUCUCUCAGUUACAGUAAGACACAUCCAAUUUCGACUUGUUACCCUGAUGAAGGAACAAGAAGAAGAGAAAGAAGUGAGUGUGGCAGACAGAGACAGCAGCAACCCGGGCAGACAGCUCCACGCACAUUUCACACAAAAGUCCACACUCCAAACAGCUCCGUGUGCAGCAGCAGCAAGCAGCAGGCCAGCAGCUUCCUUGGUCAGAUUUUUCCAUCUCGUCCAAUUCCAUCGCGUUCAGUUUACUGAACUUUCGACUGCUACUUCGGUUCAGGCUUUGUUUCGACGCCCUAUCGGACCUUUGACUGACGUGCUUGCUUGUUAGGUCGUUCAGAACACUGCAACUACUGUAUCGUCACGUCGGGUUUUCGCUUCGCUUGCACCUCAGCUAAGAAUGAUCAUAGCUUCAUCUGUAGUUACCUAAAUUACCGAACUGUAAAUUUCAUGAGAUUGCAGGUUCUUCGACAGUAAAAUUAUCAAAUUUGUACGGUUGGAAGGAUUUUCAGUUAAUUAACUUAUAAUGUUACGCACGAAAUUUUCACUGAGCA